rnacentral:rRNA from 1 species
GUAUCAUGGCUCAGGAUGAACGCUAGCUACAGGCUUAACACAUGCAAGUCGAGGGGCAGCAUGGUUCUUAGCUUGCUAAGGCCGAUGGCGACCGGCGCACGGGUGAGUAACACGUAUCCAACCUGCCGUCUACUCUUGGACAGCCUUCUGAAAGGAAGAUUAAUACAAGAUGGCAUCAUGAGUCCGCAUGUUCACAUGAUUAAAGGUAUUCCGGUAGACGAUGGGGA